GAAAGAUUGUCCGACACAGAAGCAGCGCUACUUUUGCUUGAUUGGGGCCUUAAAGCCGUGAAUGGUGCAGGGCGAGAACUGAGCCCUUGGAAUCUCCAAGUCACCACUGAGGCAUGUUGGCGAGCUGGUGUAUUGCUGUUACUGCCCACGCCGUAACUUCUUUACAUCUAGAAGAUUUCACAGUUCACUGCUGUCACGCCAGGCAAAACUACAGUGUGGGUUAGAGAAUACACAAAGAAGUAGGAAGAACACUCAAGCUCAGCAGAGGGACAUCAUUGUGCAUCAUUAAGCCUUGCAGAGCCACCACAGCUCUGAAAAAGAGUGCUGGAUUCCAUUCCUAGCUGUGCAUCAGCGCCAGAAUUACUUACUGACUAGCAGACAGACAAGCUGGGUGAGUUUCAGUUCCUUUCCCCUCCCAAUCCUGAAGAGGCCAGCCACUUCCAGUUCCCGUAGGCCAGCCGAGAUGCCAUGCUCGCGGCAUCGCUUUCAUUCAGGCCACCCAGGGAAGGAUGAAUAGCUGGGUUGGGACAGUCCCAGAGGAUACAGAGGAAAGAGCCCACUGGCUCACAGAAGGUGGAGGUGGAACUAGCAGCUGGGCUGGGAAACUGAGCGGGGCAGCAAGCAGAGAGCCACUGCUCAAGAGCAGGGAGGCAGGUGCUCCUGCUGCACCAGGCUGCACACCACAGGCUGCAAGGAGGAGCCUCAGCUCUUUGCCUCUUCACCACAGCGCACC